GAUGAACGCUGGCGGCGUGCUUAACACAUGCAAGUCGAACGAUGAAGCCCAGCUUGCUGGGUGGAUUAGUGGCGAACGGGUGAGUAACACGUGAGUAACCUGCCCUUAACUCUGGGAUAAGCCUGGGAAACUGGGUCUAAUACCGGAUAGGAGCGCCUACCGCAUGGUGGGUGUUGGAAAGAUUUAUCGGUUUUGGAUGGACUCGCGGCCUAUCAGCUUGUUGGUGAGGUAAUGGCUCACCAAGGCGACGACGGGUAGCCGGCCUGAGAGGGUGACCGGCCACACUGGGACUGAGACACGGCCCAGACUCCUACGGGAGGCAGCAGUGGGGAAUAUUGCACAAUGGGCGAAAGCCUGAUGCAGCGACGCCGCGUGAGGGAUGACGGCCUUCGGGUUGUAAACCUCUUUCAGUAGGGAAGAAGCGAGAGUGACGGUACCUGCAGAAGAAGCACCGGCUAACUACGUG
rnacentral:rRNA from 1 species